UACGUAGGGUCCAAGCGUUAUUCGGAAUUACUGGGCGUAAAGCGUGCGCAGGCGGUUGUGUAAGUCAGAUGUGAAAUCCCCGGGCUCAACCUGGGAACUGCAUUUGAGACUGCACGGCUAGAGUGUGUCAGAGGGGGGUAGAAUUCCACGUGUAGCAGUGAAAUGCGUAGAGAUGUGGAGGAAUACCGAUGGCGAAGGCAGCCCCCUGGGAUAACACUGACGCUCAUGCACGAAAGCGUGGGGAGCAAACAGG
rnacentral:rRNA from 1 species